AAACGAGUAUGGUAAUGUGGACAUAAAUUGAAUUGGGUCUCUAGGCCUGCCUUUUUUGAUGUCAUUCGACUUUGAUUUGGAGGCAUGGUUCCGCAACAAAAUA